rnacentral:tRNA from 1 species
GGCCCGAUAGCUCAGUCAGGCAGAGCACCCCCCACAACGGGCAUGUCGACGGUUCAAAUCCGUCUCGGGCCACCA